GCCACAUCUCGGAGAGCUGCUCCUUCGCUGCGCGGCUGCUCCUGGCACAGCUCUGCUGGGGGGACAGCGGGGACGUCGGGGUGCAGAGCCCCAGGAGGGACGGGGGAAGGUGCCUUCGGGGCACGGGGCACAGCAGGAGCCCCCCUCUCCCUCUCCUCUCCCAGACCUUCUACGCCGUCUCGUUCCUGAUGGUCAUCGUCUACGCGUACGAAGCCUAUCGCACCGUCCAGGGCUGGAGAGCCUGGCACGUCGCAGUGCUGCAGGUGGGUGGCCACCAGCCGUGGUGCAGCCCAGCAUCACCCUUCCUGCACUCCGGGAGCAGUUGGGGGGGUCUGAGGGCAGCCCCUAUUCCUGGGUGUCAGUGAGUUCCCCGUGGAGCUGGGCUGGACCCUUGAGCUGCUGCGGGACCCGCAGCCACCUGUGAUUUCCCCCCUGCAGGAGAGGAGCGGGUGCCUGGAGAGCCUGUGGCAGGGGCUGCCCUACAUCCUGGCCUGGUAGGUGACCACUGCCAGCCCCUCACCCCUCGCUGCCCCUCGCGCCUCCCGGGAUGGCCCCACUCACCUCCGUCUCCCCCUGCAAGGCUGGUGCCGGCGCUCACCCUCCUGGGGCAGCUGAUCGCCCGCGGCACCUCCACCACCACCGACAUCGCCCCAAAACCCAUCGAGCCCGUCCUGCCGUGGAGAGGAAACCGCUCCCACGAGACCUACAGCCUUUACUGCUCCAGCUGCCUGCUCCUCAUCCGCCGGGCCCAAGAUAUCUGCUUCCAGUACGUGGGUAGGAAGGACGUGGGCCUGGAGGGCAAAAUCAUCUUCUUCUUGUACCUGCUGCUGGUGCUGAGCUGCUGCACGGUAAGCCAUGGGGCUAGCGGGGGCCCGGGGGCAGUAGCCAGCGCUCCCCGGGCUGACGCCGCUCCCAUCGCCCAGCUCCUCUACCGCAGGGUGAAGCUCUGGUGCCGGAGGAACGCGGCGGAGCCCCUGCUGACCCUGGAGAAAGACGGCUUCGCCGGCAGGAGCAUCCGCAGCGUCAGCAGGGUCUCCCACUACUUCCAGCUGGUUUUCCUGCUCUGCUGGGCACCAGCCUUCCUCCUCACCCUCCUCUCCUUCACCAGCAUCAAACCUUCUUCGGUCUUUGUCCUCUACAUUGCUACGGUGAGUAAAAACCUGGUUUCCUGGGCUCCGGAGCUGGGACAUCUGUCCCCAUCAGAGGUGUGAGAGGUGAUGGGGUGGGGGCACCCUGGUGGGACAGGGCGGCUGUGAGAGGGGAGCUCCUCCCUUGUUUGAGGUGACCACACCAAGAGGAAGGCCACCUUGUGCCCUGGUGGCCAAGAAGACCAAUGGCAUCCUGGGGGGCAUCAAGGAGAGCGUGGCCAGCAGGUGGAGGGAGGUCAUCCUGCCCCUCUGCUCUGCCCUGGGGAGGCCCCAGCUGGAGCACUGGGACC
rnacentral:lncRNA from 1 species